rnacentral:sRNA from 1 species
GCCAGGUGUGGUGGCACACACCUGUAAUCCCAGCAACUCAGGAGGCUGUGGCAGGAGGAUUGCAAGUCUAAGGCCAGCCUCAGCAACUCAGCAAGACCCUAUCUCAA